GAUGAACGCUGGCGGCGUGCCUAAUACAUGCAAGUCGAGCGAACAGACGAGGAGCUUGCUCCUCUGACGUUAGCGGCGGACGGGUGAGUAACACGUGGAUAACCUACCUAUAAGACUGGGAUAACUUCGGGAAACCGGAGCUAAUACCGGAUAAUAUAUUGAACCGCAUGGUUCAAUAGUUAAAGACGGUUUUGCUGUCACUUAUAGAUGGUUCCGCGCCGCAUUAGCUAGUUGGUAAGGUAACGGCUUACCAAGGCAACGAUGCGUAGCCGACCUGAGAGGGUGAUCGGCAACACUGGAACUGAGACACGGUCCAGACUCCUACGGGAGGCAGCAGUAGGGAAUCUUCCGCAAAGGGCGAAAGCCUGACGGAGCAACGCCGCGUGAGUGAUGAAGGUCUUCGGAUCGUAAAACUCUGUUAUUAGGGAAGAACAAAUGUGUAAGUAACUAUGCACGUCUUGACGGUACCUAAUCAGAAAGCCACGGCUAACUACGUG
rnacentral:rRNA from 1 species